rnacentral:rRNA from 1 species
UGUGAAGGAAAGGUGAAAAGCACCCCGGGAGGGGAGUGAAAGAGAACCUGAAACCCUGUGCUUACAAGCACUUAGAGCACGUCAAAGUGUGAUAAGGUACCUAUUGUAGAAUGGUCCGGCGAGUUAUUGUAUGCAGCGAGGUUAAGUAGUUCAGCUACGGAGCCGAAGUGAGAGCGAGUGUUAACAGCACGUUCAGUUGUAUGCAAUAGACCCGAAACCGGGUGACCUAUCCAUGUCCAGGAUGAAGUGAGGGUAAAACCUCAUGGAGGUCCGAACCCACUCCCGUUGAAAUGGUAGGGGAUGAGGUGUGGAUAGCGGAGAAAUUCCAAUCGAACCCGGAUAUAGCUGGUUCUCCCCGAAAUAGUUUUAGGACUAGCCUCGUGAUCAAGAUUAUCGGAGGUAAAGCACUGAAUGGCCUAGGGGUCGAGAGAUUACCGAAGCCUAUCAAACUCUGAAUGCCGAAUAAUCAUGCACGGGAGUCAGACUGUGUGAGAUAAGUUUCAUAGUCGAAAGGGAAACAGCCCAGACCUACAGCUAAGGUCCCAAAGUACGUUUAAGUGGAAAACGAUGUGAAAUUGCGUAGACAACCAGGAUGUUGGCUUAGAAGCAGCCAUACAUUAAAAGAGUGCGUAAUAGCUCACUGGUCGAGUGACUUUGCGCGGAAAAUUUAACGGGGCUAAAACGUACACCGAAGCUUAGGCUUGCAACUAUGUUGCAGGGGUAGGGGAGCGUUGAAUGAGGGGUGAAGUCGUAGCGAAAGCGACGGUGGACUUCAUUCAAGUGAGAAUGCCGGAAUGAGUAGCGAGAAUUAUGUGAGAAUCAUAAUGGCCGAAAGCCUAAGGUUUUUGGAGGAAGGUUCGUCCGCUCCAAGUAAGUCGGAAGCUAAGGUGAGGCUGAAAAGCGUAGCCGAUGCACAAACGGUUGAAAUUCCGUUACCACAGAAAGAUUUAAACUAAGGGACACUUUUGAAGAGCUGAUGCCGGGUGUUGGUUACCCCGGUCGUAAGGGAACGAAAUUAAGUAGUGAAGUCAGCGUGGAUGAAGGCGAGAAAAGCUUAGUGUAUAUCUUAUGUGUCCGUACCGCAAACCGACACAGGUAGGUAGGAAGAGAAUUCUAAGGCCAACGGGAGAAGGGUUGUUAAGGAACUCGGCAAGUUGACCCCGUAACUUCGGGAGAAGGGGUGCUUACGAAGGUAAGCCGCAGAGAAUAGGCCCAAGCGACUGUUUAGCAAAAACACAGCUCUAUGCUAAAUCGAAAGAUGACGUAUAUGGGGUGACGCCUGCCCGGUGCCGGAAGGUUAAGAGGAGGAGUGAGAGCCCUGAAUCGAAGCCCCGGUAAACGGCGGCCGUAACUAUAACGGUCCUAAGGUAGCGAAAUUCCUUGUCAGGUAAGUUCUGACCCGCACGAAUGGUGUAACGAUCUGGGCGCUGUCUCAACAACCUGCCCGGCGAAGUUGUAGUACCGGUGAAGAUGCCGGUUACCCGCGAUUAGACGGAAAGACCCCAUGGAGCUUUACUGUAGCUUGAUAUUGGAUUUUGGUAGUUCAUGUACAGGAUAGGAGGGAGACUGAGAAGCCUUGGCGCCAGCCGGGGUGGAGUCGCCGUUGGGAUACCUCUCUUGGAUUAUCGGGAUUCUAACCUGCCGCCGUAAUCCGGCGGGGGGACAUUGUCAGGUGGGCAGUUUGACUGGGG